GACGAACCGUGCGAACGUUAUUCGGAAUCAUUGGGCUUAAAGCGCGUGUAGGCGGAUUCGUGCGUCUGUCGCUGAAAUCCCCCGGCUCAACCGGGGAACGGGCGUGGAUACGACGAGUCUGGAGGGGCAUAGGGGGACCUGGAACUUCCGGUGGAGCGGUGAAAUGCGUUGAGAUCGGAAGGAACGCCCGUGGCGAAAGCGGUGCACUGGGGUUGGUCUGACGCUGAGGCACGAAAGCCAGGGGAGCGAACGGG
rnacentral:rRNA from 1 species